CCGAACAAGAUUGUACCCUGCCUUUUGCGUAGUCGACGCUGACACGCUGCUGAGCUAUGAAACGUGUUUUCUAACGCGGACAUUGUGGAUCUCUAUGUAAAAUAAUGAUCGUCUACGGCGACUGCAUGAUGCAGCAGAUUAACGGACGUUCGCUUCGUUUUUCAACGCGUUCGAUUUCGGCAUCGCUGGCGCGCGUGGUUGUACUUAUUGUGUUCGACCAAAUGGACAGCUACACGAAACAGCCGAAAUCGCUUUUGGUGUCCAGAUAUAUAUUUAUCCCCGACUGUAGAAUUUGACUAUGACGUGAGGUGACUAAUAAUUGAUAAAUUCUGCUUGAAAUUGUCAUAACCAAACCGGGCUUGCCGUUGCAUCAUCCGGAUUUGUACAUUAUGCGACGAGUUUUUCAACUACAUUAUGGCAGAAAUUGCGUUUGUCGUGAAAAAUUACGAUUAUUUGUUAAUUUCCUUUAUCACCGACGAAUUCUUUUACCGUAUUUUAACGAACGUCCAGCUGUUGCGAUAUUACGUUAAGUUUCUGGAUUGAAGAAGAACAAAAAUUGUUAUGAUAAGCAUUGAUGAUAAAAAUGAGCAAGUAAAAUUUGAAAGAGUGUAGAAAUUCGGGGAAUAUUCGAAAUAUCUUUGUAUUAUUUUCAACAUACUAAAAUUGUUAAGAGAAGGAAAUUUCUACCUGGCUACUGUCUACCUGCAAUUCGGAACGAAAAAUUCUAUUCUAAAUCUUCUAUUACUAGUGGUUCCGUUGCAAUGAAGAAAUAGUGCGCGAAUAGCAAUUUAAGAUUAAUAGAAGGAAUCGUGUGCGUGAUUACAUUCGUAGAUAUUUAUGUAUUUUACCUAAAAGCAACCGCGAAAUUUCCAUAAAGCCGCACGUAUUUUUAAGUAAAUCAAGAUCAACAACAUCAUGAACAAACAUCAAGAUUGAUGCAAAUUUCUUCUCUACUUCGUAAGCAACAUUUAGUAUAAUUGGCAUUUUUUCUUUUUUAAAAUAAUGUCGAAAAUUCUAUUACGUACUGAUGAAAUCAAAUUACGGAAAGUUAAUAUCUCAACGUUGGUAUCAUUUUUUCUUUAUUAAAUCACUAUGUACUGGCACGAUUUAUAUAACUAACAAUUUCCAAAUAACGAUUUAUAAAUUGAUUUCGGAGAUUUUUAUUUUACAUAAGGACGUCGAAGAAGCAGAGCAUUUCUCGAUUAACGCAGUUAUUCGGCUUAACACUUCCGGAAGCACGGAAAGACACUUUCGAAGAAACUUUGACUACUAUGAAACUUCCACAGCAAACUUCGAUCACGCAUAUCCGAUUUAUUAAUUGGAAAAGUACGUUGUCGUACUCGUCAACUCGGGUCAUUAACUCGAAAAUCAAAAGGUUCCUUUAGGAUUAAAUCUAUUCAGACGAUCCUUCAACCAUCAAUAAUCAGUCUAAAAUUGAACAAUCAAUUGUUCGCUACCAAGGAUGAUAAUCGAUGAAAAUUUGUUUCGUGGUGUUGCGCACAAUAUCACGGUUAGUCUACAUGUCCAAUGUAUAAAAUUUGAUAUAUAAUAUGUAUACUUACAUGUUCUUAUCUUUUUUUUAUUUCGUAUGAAAUUUAUUAAAUUUAUUUGGUAUGGAACCAUUGUAUCCGGUAAUAACUGCGCUAUAUAUUUAAUAACAAUAUUCGGUUAUAUAUAUAUAUCAGUAUCAAUCAUUGUAUGUUUUUGAAAAACAUUUAAUAUUUGCAAAACUGACAAUAAGAUUGUAAUGUAACGAGGACUUCUCAGAUUUCACAGAGGGAUUCUAUCAAAUUUACAUACAUAUAACGAAAUUUAAAAAAAUAAAUCUUUUAAAUAGGUAUAAAUACCUCUAUAUGAUUUGUUUAGGAAGGAAACAAAUUUUCAUUUUACUUUAGUGUGUCGCAAUUGAGGUAAACAAUUUUUAUCUUGCACAAAGAUCCGCAAUACAGAGAAAAGCAACUGAUUUAGUGAUAAGCAAUACAGAGACAAUUUAGUAUAUACAUAUAUACAUGUAGAGAUAAGCAUUUAUUGUAACAAUGCGAUGUAAUAAGACCAAGAACGGUGUAUCAGGAUAAUCUUGAGAAAUCCACGCACCAAAAAUAAAAAUACAUUUACCGAUCUAUCUUUGACAAUAAAAUGAAAAAAAAGAAAACCAAAA